rnacentral:rRNA from 1 species
CGGAUUAGUGACGAGCAGAUAACCGCUGUCGCUGUGAUCUCUCCGUAGCGAACUUUUGGAAGCCUUUGCGCCCUCAAAAGGGGUUCUCGCGACUGUAAAUAAGGAGGAAAGCAAGUAUCCCGCUGGAAGCAGCGCGGGAUGCAACACAAUCGAAUUGCGGGGACGUCCUAAAGCCAAGGGGUACUAACUCACCGUAGGAAUACGGUCAGGGCUCGUGUCAACAGCAUGAGGUACAGUAAUAAUCCCCAAGGAUCACACUCGGUAGGAGUGGGAAUGGAUAAUCCGCAGCGAAGCCCUCAGAACGAGGGGACGUCCACAGACUAAGUGGUUGUGGGUAGGGCACUCGGCCCUGCUUAAGAUAUAGUCGGGCUUUCAGGGAAACCUGGAAGGUAUUCGCAGAAUACGUGGUUCAAGCAUAAUUGUGCUGGACCAGAAAACCGCUCCGUAGGUGAACCUGCGGAGGGAUCAUUACAGAGAACAUCGCCCUGACGGGUGACUCUCCAACCCUAUGUUAUCAAAACUUUGUUGCUUUGGCGAGCCGCUUCGGCCACCGGCUUUACGCUGGUGCGUGCUCGCCAGAGGACCCCCAAACUCUGAAUAUUAAGGUCGUCUGAGUACUAUAUAAUAGUUAAAACUUUCAACAACGGAUCUCUUGGUUCUGGCAUCGAUGAAGAACGCAGCGAAAUGCGAUAAGUAAUGUGAAUUGCAGAAUUCAGUGAAUCAUCGAAUCUUUGAACGCACAUUGCGCCCCGUGGUAUUCCGCGGGGCAUGCCUGUUCGAGCGUCAGUACAACACUCAAGCUCUGCUUGGUAUUGGGCCCCGCCGGGAGACCGGCUGGCCUUAAAAUCAGUGGCGGUGCCUAUCUGGCUCUAAGCGUAGUAAUACUCCUCGCUACAGAGUUCCGGUGGAUGCUUGCCAGCAACCCACAACUUUCUAAGUUGACCUC